CCUACGGGUGGCAGCAGUGAGGAAUAUUGGUCAAUGGGCGCUAGCCUGAACCAGCCAAGUAGCGUGAAGGAUGACUGCCCUAUGGGUUGUAAACUUCUUUUAUAUGGGGGUAAACUGCAAUAUGUAUACUGCUCUGCAUGUACCUUAUGAAUAAGGAUCGGCUAACUCCGUGCCAGCAGCCGCGGUAAUACGGAGGAUCCGAGCGUUAUCCGGAUUUAUUGGGUUUAAAGGGAGCGUAGGCGGGUGGUUAAGUCAGUUGUGAAAGUUGGCGGCUCAACCGUGAAAUUGCAGUUGAUACUGGCAGGCUUGAGUACAGUAGAGGUAGGCGGAAUGCGUGGUGUAGCGGUGAAAUGCUUAGAGAUCACGAAGAACUCCGAUUGCGAAGGCAGCCUGCUGGGCUGUAACUGACGCUGAGGCUCGAAAGUGUGGGUAUCAAACAGGAUUAGAUACCCUUGUAGUC
rnacentral:rRNA from 1 species